rnacentral:rRNA from 1 species
UCGGGAAUUUUGGGCAAUGGGCGAAAGCCUGACCCAGCAACGCCGCGUGAAGGAUGAAGUAUUUCGGUAUGUAAACUUCGAAAGAAUAGGAAGAAUAAAUGACGGUACUAUUUAUAAGCUCCGGCUAACUACGUGCCAGCAGCCGCGGUAAUACGUAGGGAGCAAGCGUUGUUCGGAUUUACUGGGCGUAAAGGGCGCGUAGGCGGCGCGGUAAGUCACUUGUGAAAUCUCUGAGCUUAACUCAGAACGGCCAAGUGAUACUGCAGUGCUAGAGUGCAGAAAGGGCAAUCGGAAUUCUUGGUGUAGCGGUGAAAUGCGUAGAUAUCAAGAGGAACACCUGAGGCGAAGGCGGGUUGCUAGGCUGACACUGACGCUGAGGCGCGAAAGCCAGGGGAGCAAACG